ensembl:lncRNA
AACAACUGUACUUCCCUUUAACCCCCUUCCCUGCUUUAAAGCGAUAGCAGGGGAAUUUUUUUUUUUAAUUCAACUUUUUUUUCCAACAUUAUUUCAGCCCCACCGAAGUCCCAUGUGAAUAUCCAGUACCCCAAGGACACUUGCAAUGUCACACUGGCCUCACGCUUUCACUUUCUGAUGAACGUGGCCUUGACACAUCUCCAACUGACACCUGUUGAAACAAAUGUACCUUUCCAUCCUACCGGACGUCCACGUAUAACAAAAGACAUGAUUACACCGUAGGUAAAUACAAACAUAAGUCUGGUGGGGGAAGGGUGAACUAACGACUGUUUGUGUGUAGUAGAGUCUUUCUCUUAGAUUGUUAAUGAUAACUUGGAAUAAACUCAGUCAGGG